GCCUGGCUAGCUCAAUCGGUAGAGCAUUUGACUCUUAGUAACUAAUAGUCAUCAAAAGGUUGCGGGUUCGAGCCCCGCGUUGGGCU
rnacentral:tRNA from 1 species